rfam:Takifugu rubripes chromosome, Chr_21
GGCUCUGUGGCGCAAUGGAGAGCGCAUUGGACUUCUAGUUGAGUGUGUAAAGAGCAAUUCAAAGGUUGUGGGUUCGAGUCCCACCAGAGUCG